UUUUCGGCAUCCUCCAUUAAUUCACGAUAAAGUAUUUCCUUUAAAUCAUAGCGUCCUCGUAUCAUGAUACGUAUACCUAAUUCACGUUUGACAGCCUCAUGCACCCAAGGCCUUAGCUCAGACACACUUAUCUCUGACGCCGGAUUUGUCGCUAAAUUGUAAACCAACAUAUCAUGUGAAAGUACAGGAGGUUUAAGAAGUGACUGAUAUUUCA